rnacentral:rRNA from 1 species
AGACCCGAAACCCGGUGAUCUAGCCAUGGGCAGGUUGAAGGUUGGGUAACACUAACUGGAGGACCGAACCGACUAAUGUUGAAAAAUUAGCGGAUGACUUGUGGCUGGGGGUGAAAGGCCAAUCAAACCGGGAGAUAGCUGGUUCUCCCCGAAAGCUAUUUAGGUAGCGCCUCGUGAAUUCAUCUCCGGGGGUAGAGCACUGUUUCGGCAAGGGGGUCAUCCCGACUUACCAACCCGAUGCAAACUGCGAAUACCGGAGAAUGUUAUCACGGGAGACACACGGCGGGUGCUAACGUCCGUCGUGAAGAGGGAAACAACCCAGACCGCCAGCUAAGGUCCCAAAGUCAUGGUUAAGUGGGAAACGAUGUGGGAAGGCCCAGACAGCCAGGAUGUUGGCUUAGAAGCAGCCAUCAUUUAAAGAAAGCGUAAUAGCUCACUGGUCGAGUCGGCCUGCGCGGAAGAUGUAACGGGGCUAAACCAUGCACCGAAGCUGCGGCAGCGACACUGUGUGUUGUUGGGUAGGGGAGCGUUCUGUAAGCCUGUGAAGGUGUGCUGUGAGGCAUGCUGGAGGUAUCAGAAGUGCGAAUGCUGACAUAAGUAACGAUAAAGCGGGUGAAAAGCCCGCUCGCCGGAAGACCAAGGGUUCCUGUCCAACGUUAAUCGGGGCAGGGUGAGUCGACCCCUAAGGCGAGGCCGAAAGGCGUAGUCGAUGGGAAACAGGUUAAUAUUCCUGUACUUGGUGUUACUGCGAAGGGGGGACGGAGAAGGCUAUGUUGGCCGGGCGACGGUUGUCCCGGUUUAAGCGUGUAGGCUGGUUUUCCAGGCAAAUCCGGAAAAUCAAGGCUGAGGCGUGAUGACGAGGCACUACGGUGCUGAAGCAACAAAUGCCCUGCUUCCAGGAAAAGCCUCUAAGCAUCAGGUAACAUCAAAUCGUACCCCAAACCGACACAGGUGGUCAGGUAGAGAAUACCAAGGCGCUUGAGAGAACUCGGGUGAAGGAACUAGGCAAAAUGGUGCCGUAACUUCGGGAGAAGGCACGCUGAUAUGUAGGUGAAGUCCCUCGCGGAUGGAGCUGAAAUCAGUCGAAGAUACCAGCUGGCUGCAACUGUUUAUUAAAAACACAGCACUGUGCAAACACGAAAGUGGACGUAUACGGUGUGACGCCUGCCCGGUGCCGGAAGGUUAAUUGAUGGGGUCAGCGCAAGCGAAGCUCUUGAUCGAAGCCCCGGUAAACGGCGGCCGUAACUAUAACGGUCCUAAGGUAGCGAAAUUCCUUGUCGGGUAAGUUCCGACCUGCACGAAUGGCGUAAUGAUGGCCAGGCUGUCUCCACCCGAGACUCAGUGAAAUUGAACUCGCUGUGAAGAUGCAGUGUACCCGCGGCAAGACGGAAAGACCCCGUGAACCUUUACUAUAGCUUGACACUGAACAUUGAGCCUUGAUGUGUAGGAUAGGUGGGAGGCUUUGAAGUGUGGACGCCAGUCUGCAUGGAGCCGACCUUGAAAUACCACCCUUUAAUGUUUGAUGUUCUAACGUGGACCCGUGAUCCGGGUUGCGGACAGUGUCUGGUGGGUAGUUUGACUGGGGCGGUCUCCUCCUAAAGAGUAACGGAGGAGCACGAAGGUUGGCUAAUCCUGGUCGGACAUCAGGAGGUUAGUGCAAUGGCAUAAGCCAGCUUGACUGCGAGCGUGACGGCGCGAGCAGGUGCGAAAGCAGGUCAUAGUGAUCCGGUGGUUCUGAAUGGAAGGGCCAUCGCUCAACGGAUAAAAGGUACUCCGGGGAUAACAGGCUGAUACCGCCCAAGAGUUCAUAUCGACGGCGGUGUUUGGCACCUCGAUGUCGGCUCAUCACAUCCUGGGGCUGAAGUAGGUCCCAAGGGUAUGGCUGUUCGCCAUUUAAAGUGGUACGCGAGCUGGGUUUAGAACGUCGUGAGACAGUUCGGUCCCUAUCUGCCGUGGGCGCUGGAGAACUGAGGGGGGCUGCUCCUAGUACGAGAGGACCGGAGUGGACGCAUCACUGGUGUUCGGGUUGUCAUGCCAAUGGCACUGCCCGGUAGCUAAAUGCGGAAGAGAUAAGUGCUGAAA